GAUUAAAGUUGGCGGCGUGCCUAAGGUAUGCAAGUCGAGCGAUUUUUGUUGCGCCGUAAGGCAAGACAAAAAUAGCGGCGAACGGCUGAGUAACGCGUGGGAAUCUCCCUCGAAGUCACGGAUAGCCCACCGAAAGGUGGAGUAAUCCUGGAUGUGGUCUGAGGACCAAAGUCGAAAGACGCUUUGAGAUGAGCCUGCGUCCUAUCAGGUUGUUGGCGGGUAAUGCCCACCAGCCUUUGACGGUAGCUGGUCUGAGAGGAUGACCAGCCAGAAUGGGACUGAGACACGGCCCAUACUCCUACGGGUGGCAG
rnacentral:rRNA from 1 species